rnacentral:rRNA from 1 species
GACGAACGCUGGCGGCGUGCCUAACACAUGCAAGUCGAACGGAAAGGCCCUGCUUUUGUGGGGUGCUCGAGUUGCGAACGGGUGAGUAACACGUGAGUAACCUGCCCUUGACUUUGGGAUAACUUAAGGAAACUGAGGCUCAUACCGGAUAGGAUCUCCUGCUGCAUGUUGGGGGUGGGAAAGUUUCGGCGGUUGGGGAUGGACUCGCGUCUUAUCGGCUUGUUGGUGAGGUAGUGGCUUACCAAGGCUUUGACGGGUUGCCGUCCUGGGCGGGUGGCCUGCCACACUGCGACUGGACUACGGCCCAGCCUCGUACCGGAGGCAAGGGUGGAGAAUAUUGCACAAUAGGCGGAAGCCAGAUGCAGUACCGCCGCGUGCGGGAAGAGAGGCUUGGGGUUGUGAACUGCUUUCGUUUGUGCCGAAGCGUGAGUGACGGUACUGGGUAAAGAAGCACCGGCUAACUACGUG